AGACGGGCGGUAUAGAAUCAUUAUGCCAAGGUCCUUGCCGAAGCGCAGUCCUGAGGCGCCUGAGGAGCUAUGAAAGUAGGCUAUAACACUCCGAAGAGUUACGUUCCUACUUCUUUUUCACUCCCAAACACCCCACCUUGGCCUAGUACUGCUGAGUACACCRUGCCGAAACAYGGUUGAACAACAGCACCAAGUCUGAUUCAAUACCCUUCCCUUUUAACAAUUUCACGUACUUUUUCACUCUCUUUUCAAAGUGCUUUUCAUCUUUCCUUCACAGUACUUGUUCGCUAUCGGUCUCUCGUCAAUAUUUAGCUUUAGAAGGAAUUUACCUCCCACUUAGAGCUGCAUUCCCAAACAACUCGACUCUUCGAAAGUAUCUUACAAUGAGAAUAGAUUUUACGGGGCUGUCACCCUCUAAGGCGCUGUGUUCCAACAGACUUUAAUCCGCUCUCAAGAUACAAUCUACAAAUUACAACUCGACCUGGGGGCCGAUUUCAAAUUUGAGCUUUUGCCGCUUCACUCGCCGUUACUAAGGCAAUCCCUGUUGGUUUCUUUUCCUCCGC
rnacentral:rRNA from 1 species